rnacentral:tRNA from 2 species
GCGCCGGUCGUAUAGUGGCAAUUACACGACGCUGUAAACGUCGCGACCUUUUGGUCUUCGUUGGUUCGAGUCCAACCCGGCGCACCA